UAAGUCUAGGCCUCCGUUAUGACC
rnacentral:siRNA from 1 species